rnacentral:rRNA from 1 species
UUGAACGCUGGCGGUAUGCUUAACACAUGCAAGUCGAACGGAAACGAUACUAGCUUGCUAGUAGGCGUCGAGUGGCGGACGGGUGAGUAACGCGUAGGAAUCUGCCUGAUAGUGGGGGAUAGCCCGGAGAAAUUCGGAUUAAUACCGCAUAAUCUAUUCGUAGUAAAGUGGGGGACUUUCGAGCCUCACGCUAUCAGAUGAGCCUGCGUAAGAUUAGCUUGUUGGUAGGGUAAAAGCCUACCAAGGCGACGAUCUUUAGCUGGUCUGAGAGGAUGAUCAGCCACAUCGGGACUGAGACACGGCCCGAACUCCUACGGGAGGCAGCAGUGGGGAAUAUUGGACAAUGGGGGCAACCCUGAUCCAGCAAUACCGCGUGUGUGAAGAAGGCCUGAGGGUUGUAAAGCACUUUCAAUUGUGAAGAAAAGUUAACGGUUAAUACCCGUUAACCUUGACGUUAACUUUAGAAGAAGCACCGGCCAACUACGUGCCAGCAGCCGCGGUAACACGUAGGGACCGAGCGUUGUCCGGAUUUAUUGGGCGUAAAGAGCUCGUAGGCGGUUCUGUAAGUCGGAUGUGAAAACUCAGGGCUCAACCCUGAGACGCCAUCUGAUACUGCAGUGACUAGAGUCCGGUAGAGGAAGAUGGAAUUCCUGGUGUAGCGGUGGAAUGCGCAGAUAUCAGGAGGAACACCAAUGGCGAAGGCAGUCUUCUGGGCCGGUACUGACGCUGAGGAGCGAAAGCAUGGGGAGCAAACAGGAUUAGAUACCCUGGUAGUCCAUGCCGUAAACGUUGGGCACUAGGUGUGGGGUCUUCUAACGGAUUCCGUGCCGUAGCUAACGCAUUAAGUGCCCCGCCUGGGGAGUACGGCCGCAAGGCUAAAACUCAAAGGAAUUGACGGGGGCCCGCACAAGCGGCGGAGCAUGUUGCUUAAUUCGAGGCAACGCGAAGAACCUUACCUGGGUUUGACAUGUACCGAAAAGCCAUAGAGAUAUGGUGUCCUUCGGGGCGGUACACAGGUGGUGCAUGGCUGUCGUCAGCUCGUGUCGUGAGAUGUUGGGUUAAGUCCCGCAACGAGCGCAACCCUCGUCCUAUGUUGCCAGCACGUAAUGGUGGGGACUCGUAGGAGACUGCCGGGGUCAACUCGGAGGAAGGUGGGGACGACGUCAAGUCAUCAUGCCCCUUAUAUCCAGGGCUGCAAACAUGCUACAAUGGCCGGUACAAAGGGCAGCGAAACCGCGAGGUCAAGCGAAUCCCACAAAGCCGGUCUCAGUUCGGAUUGGAGUCUGCAACUCGACUCCAUGAAGCUGGAGUCGCUAGUAAUCCCGGAUCAGCAACGCCGGGGUGAAUACGUUCCCGGGCCUUGCACACACCG